AUUGAACGAUGGCGGCAGGCCUAACACAUGCAAGUCGAACGAGUGGCGGACGGGUGAGUAAUGUCUGGGAAACUGACUGAUGGAGGGGGAUAACUACUGGCAACGGUAGCUAAUACCGCAUACCAUCAGAUGUGCCCAGAUGGGAUUAGCUUGUUAGUGGGGUAACGGCUCACCAAGGCGACGACCCCUAGCUGGUCUGAGAGGAUGACCAGCCACACUGGAACUGAGACACGGUCCAGACUCCUACGGGAGGCAGCAGUGGGGAAGAUUGCACAAUGGGCGCAAGCCUGAUGCAGCCAUGCCGCGUGUAGGAAGAAGGCCUUCGGGUUAUAAAGUACUUGCAGCUGGGAGGCGUUACCCGCAGAAGAAGCACCGGCUAACUCCGUGCCAGCAGCCGCGGUAAUUC
rnacentral:rRNA from 1 species